GACAGAGCAUAUGUUUCAUCUUCCUGAGCCUCUAAAAACUUUCAGGAAAAAAAAAAGGGGGGGAUAGAGUUCAAAUGAGGAAAUAAAGGUAUAAAAUGAGCCCUGAUAGAUCUUGGGUGCAAUAUGUUUAUCAAGACCCAGAAGUGACCACUGCAGGGUGGUGGCCCCAUUUGGACCCAGAGCUCCAGCGGAGACUAUGGAGCUCCCCCUUUACUUCCAUCCAGUGCUCUUCUCCACCUGGGGUGAAGCAAGCUUUAUAGUCCUUUGUUUGCUUUGUCCAUCACAGAACACAAGGCAAGAGGGGACUUUAGGAGCCAACCCCUCCUUUUGAGUCUGCAGUCAUGAGCACUAGUCUCUCCCUAGGCCUCUGGGUUGUGGGUGCUCCCAAGGAACCAUUACUGUCUUCCUGUCUAAGGCAGGAGAGCAUCCCAGUCUUGAUUUCUCCAUUUAUUCAACAACUAUUUACUGACAUUUUCUCUGGCCUACUCUGAGGCACCUGCUGAGACCACCUGAGCCACAUUUGCACAAGGACUUCCAGGGAGUGCCCUCCAAAUCCAAACUUCCCCUACCCCUGCUAAUUUGUUUGGUGAAGGCGGUCUAAGUAGAGUUUGGGAUGUUAAGAUAGCACGGCUGCCCCCUCCUUGCAGGGUCACUCAGGCUACCUGGAUGAAAGGACUAAUUGUCUCCAGCUGGGCUGGCCCUCUUGGGGUUUUGCUGUGAGCACCCCAGGUAUCCAUAGCCUUCCCUCUGCACCCAGGCUCACAAACAGGACCCUGGCAACCCAGGGCGUGCCCAGACCCUCCCCUGAGGACAGACCUCUCUUAUGAAUGGCUUCUUUAAGCUCCAGGGCCCUCUUCUGAAAAGAGAAAUUCAUCCAGGGCCAUGUCAGUAAAUUUCCAGAGCUGCGCUCCCCCUCCCCCCACCCCACCUCCACAUCCUGAAGGAAACUUCUGUGUACCGGCUGAGGCCACCUGGGCCACUGCAGGGAGCAGGACAGGGCUGGGUUACUCAGAUUUGCGGCUGCUUGGUGGGUUUUCCUGGGAGGUGAGGGGGGCGGGUGGGGAAUGAUACUUGUUUUCUUCUUUCCCUUCCUUUGUGGCUGUCUUUCCUUCCCAAACAGGAAAGCAAAGAAGAGUUGGGAGGUCCUACAGGGAAUCCAGGACAUGCUAGGCUUCUGAUUCAGCUGUCCUUGUCACAGCUUCGUCCCACUAGAGCACAAUGGCCUGUUGACAGUCCCAGUGUAAUGGAAGUUCUGCAAGGGCAGGGGUGGUGUCUGGCCAUCUAUUGAUUCAACCUCACCAGCCACAGUUAACAGUCCCCAUCCAUGCCUGCAGAGGGGAGCUUGUGUUUGAUGAAGUAAUACACAGCCACACACACACACACACACACACACACACACACACACACACACACACACACACUGUGAACCUAAGAAGCUCCUCAUCUUGGAGAAUACAGAUGGGAAACCAAGCCAGUGCCAGCUGUGUCACUCCUGGAAGCCCUCCAGCUGCCUCUGCACUCAAGAUUCCCUCUCUCCUCUGUCCUUCCUCCUGUCCACUCAGGUUGGGUAUCUCUUCUUCCUCCAAUCUAGUCUCAAGCUCCUCGUCUGCUUAUCCGCUCCUCCAUGACAGCCCCAUGCAGGCAGCUAGCUCACAGCCAGUUGGGAUCAGACAUGGAAACUCGAUUACAGAAUCGGGGUGGGGAGCUGGGACUGGGCGAGGUGGGUGGAAGCAUUUUCAGGGAGACGGACGGUCAAGGAUGCAGACACCAAAGGCUUGAGGGAGGGACACAGUCCAGGCCAGGCGGGCAAUGUGGGGUGCUGGGUGGGUAGAGAGGGCUGAAGCUGGAGAGUUUAGGGUAGACAUCUAGGGCUGCAGCUUUGAAAUCUGAACUAACCCUGGAGGGCAUUUAAAGUAAGGUUCCUUCUUACCCUUUCCUUCCAGAAAGCACUUGCUUUCUCCCUGCUGGGGAAGUGCACUCUGCUCCCUUACCAGGGCCAUUGAAGGCCCUCCCCCCACCUCUCUCCUUAGUCAUCCUUGGGGACUCAUCCUUUGGAUGCCCCUCUUAACCUCUUGCUGUUCCCCUUUCAUGUCCUUAUGGUAAGGGUCACCACAUCCCAGCUGACUCCUAUCAAAGCACGAUCCCCACUUACAUUUAGUUCAUCUACUUUAUCGUUUGCUUCUGCCACUUCCAUCAGCUACCUGAGGAGGAAGCUUUUGGCAGCAAUGAAUUAAAGACAAAAUGAAUUAAAGAACAGGGAGACACCUACAGCGAGAAUCUAGGUGAGAAUUAAGGCCUGCUCUGGGGUAAUGGGGAAAUAGGAGGACAAAGAGACUUAGGGACAUACUGAGAACCCAAAAGAGAAAGGACUGGUUGGAUGUGGGGAUGGGAGGCUGCAGAAAGAAUCUUUAUGUAUAGAGGUUAUUUUAUCUUGUUUUACUGAAGCUCCCAGUCCAUAGCUUUUUCUAUGCCAGGAACCCAGUAAAUCUGGCUGACUGGAAGCCGAGAGGCAGAGGCUGGCCUGCGUGUCUCAGAGAUGGGUGAAUGGAGUCCAGAGGCUGCCAAAUCAGCCCAGCUAGAGUCCCCUGCCACCUGGCACAUUGGGAAGACCUGAAAACACCCUCAAACCCUGACAGGCUGGUACCCUAGCUGCCUUGGGUCUCCACUGGUAAAGGGCAAAAAGGAGGAGAAACUAUGGUCUCUUCUAAAAUGGCAGCAAAAAAUAUCUCUAGCCUUUACAUGCUCUUCCAGAACCUUGUAUACCCCAUCAAGGGGUGGACCUCUGCUCCCUCCCCUUGAACCCUGGUGAGCUUUUCCUCUAUCUUAAUGAACAGGAUUCGGCAGAAGUGAUGCUAUGUGACUUGUGGGGCUGGGUUGUAAAAGAUGACACAGUUUCCUGGCUCCCUCUUGAGACAGACAUCAUUGUGUGAAGUUCAACCACUUUCAUCCCCCCAACACUAGAGAGACCACAUAAGAGACAGAGGCCCUCGAGACCCCAGUUGAUCCAGCCUUCAGCCCUCACAUCAGACAUGUGGGCAAGAGGAGGCUUUCAGAUGACUCCCUCCAUGUCUUCAUCUGACUUCACCACCUGAGGGACCCUGGGGGAGUCACCUCGCUCAGCCCAGUCAUCCUUCAGAACCACAAAAAGGAAUGAUCAGAUGACUCAUUCAUUGUUCAUUUUGAGGAGUGGGAUAUACCAGCUACAGGUACAAAGAUGUCCCUGAGCUCUGUGCCUGGAGUGUGCAAUUUGAUGCAUGCCAGAAACAGGAAGAUGGCUCUGCUGAGCAAGCCUUCGCCUCUAGGUAUGCCGGCAAGAGAAUCAAGCCAACACUGAGAUGCCUGUGUCAGGAUGCCUAGGACGCUUGCUCUGCAGCCCCCAGGGCACCCUGGACCUGAGAUGUGCUCCACACUCUCCCGAGGUGUGGUUUGGAAGGGUGCCUGGGCCAGGAUGCCAAGGAGACAGACAGGUCUGCCGGGAAAAAUGAGAGAGUCCUCCAGGAAGUAGGGAGGGCCCCCUCUCCUCCUUUGGGAUCCUCCCAGGGCUGUGGAAGCUUGGCAUUCCUCUCCCACAUGCUCAGAUAUCCCAAUGAUUCUGCCCCGCCCCUGCCUGCUCAGUGUUCUGCCUGCAAUGUUUACUCAUCUCUGGGGCCAUGCUCUACCAAAGCGAGACUGGCAGGUAAGGAUUCCACUGGGAUCCUUUUCAGUUGGCCACUCCAGUGCACCAGGCUCCCAAAUGUGCUUUGCAGUCCAGUGACCUCCCUGGGACUUUAUGUUUCCACAUCUCUCUCUCUUUGUUCCCUCUCUACCAAUGGUUCCCAACGGAGGGCAUUCCCAACCUUUCUCCACUGGGGACAUUUGUCAAUGUCUGGAGACAUUUUUGAUUGUCACACACUGAGAGGAGCUAUUGGCAUUAGUGGGUAGAAGCCAAGGGAUGCUGCUGAACAUCUUACAAUACACAGGACAUCCCUUCCCCAGGAAGAAUUACCCACCCCCAAAUGUCAAUAGUGCAAAGCUGAGAAUCCGGGCCCUGGCUUCAAUCUUGCUUGUCUCAUUUCUGUUGUGCUUUGUUUUUUGCUUUCCUUGCUGGUGGCUGGAUAAAAGAUAAACAGACCAAGACAUUGAAGGCUGCUUCUGGCUACAUUUUACUCUUCCUGAGACAACAGUAUUUUAAGUCCCCAGCAGACCUGACACCCUGGCUGAAAAGGAGGGAAGGGACAAAGGUCUCCUGGUCCUAAGUAGCCCAGGAAGGGAGAAUCCCUGCUCUCAGGCAGCUGUGGGUCUUAGCUUUAGAAGGACCAACUUAGGACCAUCUGGAGCUGAUCAGAAGGGGAUUCUCAAGAGGAGACACACCCGGCCCAGUGCCAGGCCUGUGGCAGGGUGACAGGGUGACUGAUGAGUCAUACUGGGCCAGUCCUCUUGUUACUCAUUUCACAGCCUGACAGCAGCCCAGAGAAGAAUACCCCAAACCACAGUUCCCCACACAUGUCUGAUCACUUGUCAUUUACUUCAGGGUUGGGAGAAGGAGGGGUGCAAACCCUUUGCUUCACCCUCAUCCCCACUUCUGCAGGAGGGGAGGCCCUAAAACGCAAGACUGGAGGGAGACGGCAAUGCUGGGGCAUAACAUUCCCACUUUGGAUUUUGGUAGCAACUCUGGAAGCCUGAUGAGUCCCCUCCCUUUCUCAGCCACACCCUGGAACAAGAGGACACACCUGUUGAAGUCUCAUCUUUGUGCCCUUGUUCCCUGCAGCUCUGACCCUGAUGGACCCCUGCUCCCAUGGUCACUAGCUGAUACCACAGUAUUUAUGUCCUAGUAUCCCAGAGAGGUGGCUCCUCAUGCACCAUGGCUGCCUGCUCACCCUUUUCUUCCUAUGGUCCUGCUGCCCCCAACCAGAGCCAUGGGAGAAGAGAGAAGAGGAAACCCUGCCCUGUGCUGCAGAUCCUGUCCCAAACUCCCACUCUCCAGGAACUCUCCUUCCUCACCUCCUGGAGGAACCAGAAGGACAACAUCUGUUUUUCUUGCUUCUUCAUAGUCACAGUGUUGAGCUAAAGGUAAAAAGUCUCACUGGGGCCAGAGACAGCAAAACGCAAGAAAAACAUCAGACUGAGGGUUGGCCCAUCAAGAUUUUCUCACUCUUAUCCCAGUGCCCAGAGAGAUGGAGGAGCCGCCCCAGAGGCCCUGGGUUCCCAGGACCCCUUUCAGUCAUGUAGUCUUAAGAUGUGCCCCCUUGUGGGAAAAGGGAAAAGGACUCAAUCAUCGUCUUCCAUUUCACAGAUGGGUACAUCAUAGGAGCUUGUGGCUGAAAAUCACAGGACACUGGAGGCAAGUGCCAUGUGGGAAGAGGAGAGAGUCCAGGUCAUAGGGCACUAAUGGUCUCUGGCCUCAGUCUCUCCUACUCUGAACUUCAUGUGCAUUACUUCAUCUUCACUGUCCUCUGAGGUAGGCACUAUUAUUACCCCCAUUUUAUAAAUGAGAAAAACUCAGGCUUGACAAAGAUAAUGGUUCAAUCAAAGUAGCAGGGCCAGUAUGUGGCAGAACUAAGAGACCAGGGUCUCUUAGUUCUGGAUACCCAAGUCCUUGCUCUUGCCCCUGAUGUUUACAAAUGUUUACUGAUAUAUAUGUAUCCUGCUUGGCUCUGAUGUGAGGGCUUUCCCAUCCCAAAGAGUUAAGGAUGGGAAGAUGACAGGCUCAUGGGGAGCAGGCAGGAGCCCCGAAACACCCUUGUUACCUGUGAUUUCAUGGAGGAGCUCCAUUCUACCACCCUACUCCCAAAGCUCCAACUGUUGGCUGUGCUGUCCAGUGCAGCAGCCACAGGGCACAUGUGGCUAUGUACAUAUAAAUUAAACAAAUUACAAAUCAAUCCCUCAGUUGCAUUAGUCAUAUUUCAGUUGCUCAACAACCACAUGUGGCUAGUGGCUACCAUAUUGGGCAAUACAGAUAGAUAUUUUCAUCAUUGCUAAAAUCCCAGUACUGAACAGUGCUGGUCUAGCUUGUCUCAUUGUAUACUCGAUGGCCAACCAGAGGCAGUGUUGACCACGUCCUCCUGGGGCUCCACUGUACAGUUGCUGGCCAGGACCAACCAGAUGUCAUGGAACACACAGAUCUUCAUUUCUGAACUCCCAGGUGGGGGUCUCUCUCUGGCUGAUACUGCUGGGGACUGAUGCUGAACAAGGAUCCAUGGACCUUGGAGUGGAGCUAAUAUUGCUUAUAAACAAAUCUCAGUCAGCCUGAGGCAGCGGGGCAUCCUACAAAGUCCCUGGCCAGUACUCGAAAUUGUUAAGAUCAUCAAAAACAAGAAGACUGAGAAAUUGUCACAACCAAGAAGAGUCCAGGGAGACAUGACAAAGACAUGUAAUGUGGUAUCCUGGGGUGGAGGGGACCCUGGGUCAGCAAAAUGACGUUAAAUAAAAACUAAGGAAAUCUAAAUAAAGUAUGGACUUGAAUAGUAA